rnacentral:rRNA from 1 species
GUAGGUGGCAAGCGUUGUCCGGGAAUUAUUGGGGCGUAAAGCGCGCGCAGGCGGUUCUUUAAGUCUGAUGUGAAAGCCCACGGGCUCAACCGUGGAGGGUCAUUGGAAACUGGAGAACUUGAGUACAGAAGAGGAAAGCGGAAUUCCACGUGUAGCGGUGAAAUGCGUAGAGAUGUGGAGGAACACCAGUGGCGAAGGCGGCUUUCUGGUCUGUAACUGACGCUGAGGCGCGAAAGCGUGGGGAGCAAACAGGAUUAGAUACCCUGGUAGUCCUCGCCGUAAACGAUGAGUGCUAAGUGUUAGGGGGUUUCCGCCCCUUAGUGCUGCAGCUAACGCAUUAAGCACUCCGCCUGGGGAGUACGGCCGCAAAGGCUGA